GACGAACGCUGGCGGCGUGCUUAACACAUGCAAGUCGAACGGAGUGGCGAACGGGUGAGUAACACGUGGGGUAUCUGCCCUGCACUUCGGGAUAAGCUUGGGAAACUGGGCUUAAUACCGGACAGUGCAAGAUGAGCUCGCGGCCUAUCAGCUUGUUGGUGGGGUAAUGGCCUACCAAGGCGUCGACGGGUAGCCGGCCUGAGAGGGUGUACGGCACCAUUGGGACUGAGAUACGGCCCAGACGCCAACGGGAGGCAGCAGGGGGGAAUGUUGCGCAAUGGGCGGAAGCCUGAUUCAGCGACGCCGGGUGGGGGAUGAAGGCCUUCGGGUUGUAAACGCCUUUCGACAGGGACGCGGUACCUGUAUAAGAAGCACCGGCUAACUACGUGCCAGCAGCCGCGGUAAUAC
rnacentral:rRNA from 1 species